AUUGAACGCUGGCGGCAUGCCUUACACAUGCAAGUCGAACGGUAACAGGUUAAGCUGACGAGUGGCGAACGGGUGAGUAAUGUAUCGGAACGUGCCCAGUCGUGGGGGAUAACUGCUCGAAAGAGCAGCUAAUACCGCAUACGACCUGAGGGUGAAAGCGGGGGAUCGCAAGACCUCGCGCGAUUGGAGCGGCCGAUAUCAGAUUAGGUAGUUGGUGAGGUAAAGGCUCACCAAGCCGACGAUCUGUAGCUGGUCUGAGAGGACGACCAGCCACACUGGGACUGAGACACGGCCCAGACUACUACGGGAGGCAGCAGUGGGGAAUUUUGGACAAUGGGCGCAAGCCUGAUCCAGCCAUGCCGCGUGCGGGAAGAAGGCCUUCGGGUUGUAAACCGCUUUUGUCAGGGAAGAAAAGGUUCUGGCUAAUACCUGGGACUCAUGACGGUACCUGAAGAAUAAGCACCGGCUAACUACGUG
rnacentral:rRNA from 1 species